GACGAACCGUACGAACGUUAUUCGUAAUCACUGGGCUUAAAGGGUGCGUAGGCGGCGCGACAAGUUGGGUGUGAAAUCCCUCGGCUCAACCGUGGAACUGCUGGGCAUACUGGCGAUCUUGGGCCAACUAGGGGCAACUGGAACAAGCGGUGGAGCGGUGAAAUGCGUAGAUAUCGCUUGGAACGCCAAAGGUGAAAACAGGUUGCUGGGGUUGUGCCGACGCUGAGACACGAAAGCCAGGGGAGCAAACGGG
rnacentral:rRNA from 1 species